AUUAAGAAAAUAAUGGUGAUUUACUUUCCAUCUUUGCGCCGAUCCGCCAUCUCAUGGUAUCUCAGCGCCAUCAUCGUACAAUCUGACAAAUCAGCGUCACUUGACUUAGAUCCUCCUGCAUCAAUUUCUCUAAAGAGCUAUUUGUAAGCUCAAUAUUAUGGUGAGAUUGGUAUUGGAACACCUCCCCAGAAAUUUACUGUGAUUUUUGAUAUUGGAAGUUCAAACCAUUGGGCGCCGUAGUGCUAUUUUUCUACAUCAAUUUCUCUAAAGAGCUAUUUGUAAGCUCAAUAUUAUGGUGAGAUUGGUAUUGGAACACCUCCCCAGAAAUUUACUGUGAUUUUUGAUACUGGAAGUUCAAACCAUUGGGCGCCGUAGUGCUAUUUUUCUAUAAGCCCUGGACACAUUAUUUGUCUCAUUAAAAUGAAAAUUCUAAACGUUGUAAAUAUAGUUGGGUUGAUACGAGAGAUGAGAAGUCAUCAAAAGCGGCUGGAGGUGACGAUUAACUGUCAAAAUUUUCAUUCUUUUGUCCAAUACCGUGCCCCAAAUGAGGGCUAAGUUCUUUCCAAAGCCUUCUUGCUUCUACAAUUAAAGGUUGCUUGUUUUUUCCAUUCGAAGUACAAAUCAAGCCAUUCAAAUACAUACAAAAAGAAUGGGACUCGAUAUAAUUUCGUAUUUCUUUCUUGCUCUUACUCCUAAUAUGCUGACUGUUCAUGCGAUACUAAAUUGAUCAUUGAUUGUUUAUGACUCAUUCAUUUCAAUAAAAAUGGCAGUUUUUUCUCUUACAAGUUUUGGAAACCUUUAUUACUCGUAUGACCUACAAAUCUUUUGCUUAGCUUAGUAUCAACGUAGAAAUUUCAUUGUUAAUAUCAGGGAGUACCGCAUAUUUACAGAUUCUAUUUCUUUCUUGUUUAAUGAAUCCAAGUAAUGGUUGCUGUCCUUGUGAUUGACUGCUAAUUUCUGAUUUAGUAGUAGCUUUUAGUCACAUAAUACUUUCUAGUGUAAUUUCACUGCUCCUUAGAGGCUUUCUGGAUACGUGAAAGAAGUACUGAGGAUAGAGAAUAAUUUCUAACAACUAAUGAUAUGCACGAGCUCUCAUUGCCUACUCAAAUGUGGCCCCCCUAGUAAAGCAUUGUCGUGGAGACUGUCUAUGGAAGCCAAGACUAUGUUAAACAUGUUGACCU